rnacentral:tRNA from 1 species
AGCGUGGUAGAGCAGCAGGCUGUUAUCUCGUCGAGAUGGAGACCUGUUGGUCGUCGGUUCGAGUCCGACCAGCGCCG